rnacentral:rRNA from 1 species
UCAUAUGCUUGUCUCAAAGAUUAAGCCAUGCAUGUCUAAGUAUAAGCACUUUAUACUGUGAAACUGCGAAUGGCUCAUUAAAUCAGUUAUCGUUUAUUUGAUAGUACCUUACUACAUGGAUACCUGUGGUAAUUCUAGAGCUAAUACAUGCUGAAAACCUCGACUUCGGAAGGGGUGUAUUUAUUAGAUAAAAAACCAAUGCCCUUCGGGGCUCCUUGGUGAAUCAUAAUAACUUAACGAAUCGCAUGGCCUUGCGCCGGCGAUGGUUCAUUCAAAUUUCUGCCCUAUCAACUUUCGAUGGUAGGAUAGUGGCCUACCAUGGUGGCAACGGGUAACGGGGAAUUAGGGUUCGAUUCCGGAGAGGGAGCCUGAGAAACGGCUACCACAUCCAAGGAAGGCAGCAGGCGCGCAAAUUACCCAAUCCCGACACGGGGAGGUAGUGACAAUAAAUACUGAUACGGGGCUCUUUUGGGUCUCGUAAUUGGGAUGAGUACGAUCUGGAUCCCUUAACGAGGAACAAUUGGAGGGCAAGUCUGGUGCCAGCAGCCGCGGUAAUUCCAGCUCCAAUAGCGUAUAUUAAAGUUGUUGCAGUUAAAAAGCUCGUAGUUGAACCUUGGGUCUGGCUGGCCGGUCCGCCUCACCGCGAGUACUGGUCCGGCUGGACCUUUCCUUCUGGGGAAUCUCAUGGCCUUCACUGGCUGUGGGGGGAACCAGGACUUUUACUGUGAAAAAAUUAGAGUGUUCAAAGCAGGCCUUUGCUCGAAUACAUUAGCAUGGAAUAAUAGAAUAGGACGUGCGGUUCUAUUUUGUUGGUUUCUAGGACCGCCGUAAUGAUUAAUAGGGAUAGUCGGGGGCGUCAGUAUUCAGCUGUCAGAGGUGAAAUUCUUGGAUUUGCUGAAGACUAACUACUGCGAAAGCAUUCGCCAAGGAUGUUUUCAUUAAUCAGGGAACGAAAGUUAGGGGGAUCGAAGACGAUCAGAUACCGUCGUAGUCUUAACCAUAAACUAUGCCGACUAGGGAUCGGACGGUGUUUCUAUUAUGACCCGUUCGGCACCUUACGAGAAAUCAAAGUUUUUGGGU